rnacentral:rRNA from 1 species
AACGAACGCUGGCGGCAGGCUUAACACAUGCAAGUCGAACGGGCCCUUCGGGGUCAGUGGCAGACGGGUGAGUAACACGUGGGAACGUGCUCUUCAGUUCGGAAUAACCCAGGGAAACUUGGGCUAAUACCGGAUACGCCCUCUUGGGGAAAGAUUUAUCGCUGAAGGAUCGGCCCGCGUCUGAUUAGCUAGUUGGUGGGGUAAAGGCUCACCAAGGCGACGAUCAGUAGCUGGUCUGAGAGGAUGAUCAGCCACACUGGGACUGAGACACGGCCCAGACUCCUACGGGAGGCAGCAGUGGGGAAUAUUGGACAAUGGGCGCAAGCCUGAUCCAGCCAUGCCGCGUGAGUGAUGAAGGCCUUAGGGUUGUAAAGCUCUUUCGGCGGGGACGAUAAUGACGGUACCCGCAGAAGAAGCCCCGGCUAACUUCGUGCCAGCAGCCGCAGUAAAAC